rnacentral:rRNA from 1 species
GAUGAACGCUGACAGAAUGCUUAACACAUGCAAGUCAUUGGCGAAGCUGCGCUUGCGCAGUCUAGCCAAGGCGGACGGGUGAGUAACGCGUAAGGAACUUGCCCUGCAGACAGGGAUAACAGACGGAAACGACUGAUAACACCUGGUAUUGUCAGGCUGGCGCAUGCCGGCCUGAUGAAAGGAGACGCUGCAGGAGAGCCUUGCGUCCUAUUAGCUAGUUGGUGGGGUAACGGCCCACCAAGGCGAUGAUAGGUAGCCGGCCUGAGAGGGUGAACGGCCACAAGGGGACUGAGAUACGGCCCUUACUCCUACGGGAGGCAGCAGUGGGGAAUAUUGGACAAUGGGGGCAACCCUGAUCCAGCAAUUCUGCGUGCACGAAGAAGGUUUUCGGAUUGUAAAGUGCUUUCAGCAGGGAAGAAGAAAGUGACGGUACCUGCAGAAGAAGCGACGGCUAAAUACGUG